GAAAUACUUUCCUCUCAGCCGUCUCUCUCUUUCUCUCUCACAAAUUUUAUGAUUUUCUCCACUUCCACCUCUCAUGGAAUACUGCAUAAAGGUGACUAGCUAACUGUCAAGGAAUUUGCCUUAGUUGCAUUCGGAGAGGAUAUGAACAGAGAGAUCUAGGCGGCCGGGAUGGGAUCUAGGCUAGCAGUAGGAUAUUAUUUUUCUGUUACCUUAAUAUGUACACUUGCACAAUAAAUCCAGUUCCUUUGCAUUUCAAUUAUUGUAUUAAACAUUAUUACUCUUUUUAAAAUAAUCGUUUCCGCAUUU